rnacentral:siRNA from 1 species
GGCUUAAUCGAAAACCUGGAUACA